rnacentral:rRNA from 1 species
UGGGGAAUUUUGGACAAUGGGCGCAAGCCUGAUCCAGCCAUGCCGCGUGCGGGAGGAAGGCCUUCGGGUUGUAAACCGCUUUUGUCAGGGAAGAAAUCUUCUGAGUUAAUACCUCGGGAGGAUGACGGUACCUGAAGAAUAAGCACCGGCUAACUACGUGCCAGCAGCCGCGGUAAUACGUAGGGUGCAAGCGUUAAUCGGAAUUACUGGGCGUAAAGCGUGCGCAGGCGGUUUUGUAAGACAGAGGUGAAAUCCCCGGGCUCAACCUGGGAACUGCCUUUGUGACUGCAAGGCUUGAGUGCGGCAGAGGGGGAUGGAAUUCCGCGUGUAGCAGUGAAAUGCGUAGAUAUGCGGAGGAACACCGAUGGCGAAGGCAAUCCCCUGGGCCUGCACUGACGCUCAUGCACGAAAGCGUGGGGAGCAAACAGGAUUAGAUACCCUGGUAGUCCACGCCCUAAACGAUGUCAACUGGUUGUUGGGAAGGUUCCUUCUCAGUAACGUAGCUAACGCGUGAAGUUGA